rnacentral:rRNA from 1 species
GACGAACGCUGGCGGCGUGCUUAACACAUGCAAGUCGUACGGUAAGGCCCUUUCGGGGGUACACGAGUGGCGAACGGGUGAGUAACACGUGAGUAACCUGCCCACAACUUUGGGAUAACGCUAGGAAACUGGUGCUAAUACUGGAUAUGUGCUCCUGCUGCAUGGUGGGGGUUGGAAAGCUCCGGCGGUUGUGGAUGGACUCGCGGCCUAUCAGCUUGUUGGUGGGGUAGUGGCCUACCAAGGCGGCGACGGGUAGCCGGCCUGAGAGGGUGACCGGCCACAUUGGGACUGAGAUACGGCCCAGACUCCGACGGGAGGAAGCAGUGGGGAAUAUUGCACAAUGGGCGCAAGCCUGAUGCAGCAACGCCGCGUGCGGGAUGACGGCCUUCGGGUUGUAAACCGCUUUCAGCAGGGACGAAGCUUUUUGUGACGGUACCUGCAGAAGAAGCACCGGCUAACUACGUG